rnacentral:rRNA from 1 species
GACGAACGCUGGCGGCGUGCUUAACACAUGCCAGUCGAACGGAAAGGCCCUGCUUUUGUGGGGUGCUCGAGUGGCGAACGGGUGAGUAACACGUGAGUAACCUGCCCUUGACUUUGGGAUAACUUCAGGAAACUGGGGCUAAUACCGGAUAGGAGCUCCUGCUGCAUGGUGGGGGUUGGAAAGUUUCGGCGGUUGGGGAUGGAAUCGCGGCUUAUCAGCUUGUUGGUGGGGUAGUGGCUUACCAAGGCUUUGACGGGUAGCCGGCCUGAGAGGGUGACCGGCCACAUUGGGACUGGGAUACGGCCCAGACUCCUACGGGGGGCAGCAGUGGGGAAUAUUGCACAAUGGGCGGAAGCCUGAGGCAGCAACGCCGCGUGCGGGAUGACGGCCUUCGGGUUGUAAACCGCUUUCGCCUGUGACGAAGCGUGAGUGACGGUAAUGGGUGAAGAAGCACCGGCUAACUACGUG